UGCUAGGGGGCGGGGAGAAACAGGGAAAAGAGUAAACAGAUAGACUGAAUAACUUCUCUGUGAUUCAUGCUCAAUUGUUGGAAGCAUUUAUUGCGGAAAGGCUCAUAUCUCAGCAGGAGGGCACAUGUUCUGCAUGCAGAAGGUCCCAUGUUAAAUCCAUGCCAUUUCCAGAGAUGUCACAGAAUUCCAAUGUACGCAGAAACGGGAGCAGAAAAUUGCUGAUGUUCGCUUAUUUGUCCCAUGUCUGGAAUGGAAAUCAAUCCAGCGAAUCACCAUCCGCUACCGUUGUCGCCUUCAGUCUGCAAAUGAUACAUAACUAAUUCUACGCCAACCAAUUUGCAGUGCAUUGACAUUAAAGUGGUGGGAUAAUGUAAUGACAAUGCAACUUAUGUAACUUGCAUAAAUUACAUGAUUUUGCCGCAGUCGACAGUACGGCAAAUAACAUUGUUUUUGGUGGAAGACAAACUGCAGCAGAGCGGAAACUACGCUGCAUGUGAUUAAUAUGGGACAGGAAAGGAAAGGGAUGCCUUUUUACAUCUUUAGUAUGUGUGGUUUCCAAAAGCUGUUCUGUUUAACUCUUGCCAUCGCAACCUUUGUGAUAAAACGCUAACAGAAUAUCCUCAUCUUUGAGAUGCUUCAGAAACAAUAGCUUGUACUUAAAAACAAUAGUAUGUUGGAAUAAUACAGUGGCCUCAGCUGCUGAAUUACAACAGCAAAAGCAUAAAUUAAUGCAGGUCCCCAGGUGAAGGAGUGCUGGCAACAGCUAGGUAACUGGCACAGAGUUAAUCUCUGCACCUGAACUCCUGCAAUGUUUCGGCCUCAUUGACGAGAGAUUUGGAAUCAGCCCACUGACCUGCCGAUGCUUUCUGUUGUUCUGCAAUCUGCUCCAAUCUGCCCAGGAGAGCAUCAAUGUUGGAUUUGAUCUGCGUCAACUCCGUUUUAAUUGUCUGCAGUUCAUUGCAUUUCACUUGGAGAGGAGAGAGAGAGAGAGAGAGAGAGAGAGAGAGAGAGAGAAAAGCCGGAAGCAAGGCUUACUAUUCUUUCUUAUUUUGCAAAAGUGGUGCUUUUCUUGAGCGGAGACUUAGUUCUUUUCCUUAUAUGCCUUUCAGUAGCAGGUCCUACUAGGGAGCCAUCACAAUAUAAGGUUGUUGGAUUCAAUAUAGGACAGGUCUCCUUUGCCUUUCAUAGCUGUGAAGAAGACAGGAGAAUUUUGGCAGGUACAGUUUCUCCCAUCCUAGUGCUCCAUAAAUGGGACAAGCAAUCAAUGCCCCAAUCCUCAGACACAGCUUAUUAAAGGCACGGAAGCUCUGGACUAUAAUGACUUUGGCAAGAGAAUGACAUUGCUUGGAAGUAACCAUGGAUUGUAACUUUAA